AGCGAACGUUAGCGGCAGGCUUAACACAUGCAAGUCGAGCGAGAAAGGGGUUUCGGCCCCAAGUAAAGCGGCGGACGGGUGCGUAACACGUGGAUAAUCUGCCUCGUGGCGGGGGAUAACAGCCCGAAAGGACUGCUAAUACCGCAUGUCACGAUGAAGGUCUCGGCCUUCAUCGAAAAAGAGGGCGCCGCAAGGGCUCUCACCACGAGAUGAGUCCGCGUCCCAUCAGCUAGUUGGCGGUGUAAUGGACCACCAAGGCUUAGACGGGUAGCUGGU
rnacentral:rRNA from 1 species